UACGUAGGGUGCGAGCGUUAAUCGGAAUUACUGGGCGUAAAGAGUGCGUAGGCGGUUCCUUGUGUCCGCUGUGAAAGCCCCGGGCUUAACCUGGGAAUGGCAGUGGAAACUAGAGAACUUGAAUCUGGCAGAGGGGGGUGGAAUGCCACGUGUAGCAGUGAAAUGCGUAGAUAUGUGGCGGAACACCGAUGGCGAAGGCAGCCCCCUGGGCUGAGAUUGACGCUCAGGCACGAAAGCGUGGGGAGCAAACAGG
rnacentral:rRNA from 1 species